AGCAGCCGCGGUAAUUCCAGCUCCAAUAGCGUAUAUUAAAGUUGUUGCAGUUAAAAAGCUCGUAGUUGAAUUUCGGGGUUUAUCCGUUGGUCGGGCUUUCGGGUCUGUACUGGCGUGAUGGAUUCCUACCUUCUGAAUAACCAGCAUGUCAUUAAUUUGGUGCGUUGGGGAAGCAGGACUGUUACCUUGAAAAAAUUAGAGUGCUUAAAGCAGGCUAUUGCCUGAAUACAUUAGCAUGGAAUAAUGAAAUAGGACGCAUGGUUCUAUUUUGUUGGUUUCUAGGAUCACCGUAAUGAUUAAUAGGGAUAGUUGGGGGCAUUAGUAUUCAAUUGUCAGAGGUGAAAUUCUUGGAUUUAUUGAAGACUAACUUCUGCGAAAGCAUUUGCCAAGGAUGUUUUCAUUAAUCAAGAACGAGAGUUAGGGGAUCGAAGACGAUCAGAUACCGUCGUAGUCUUAACCAUAAACUAUGCCGACUAGGGAUCGGACGAUGUUAAUUUUAAUGACUCGUUCGGCGCCUUAA
rnacentral:rRNA from 1 species